rnacentral:rRNA from 1 species
GGUCUGAUGCCCCUGACCCGCAUCCUUCGGGGUGUGAGUGUCGGUGUGGCGUCUACCAUCUUUGUGGGAACUGCUCUGGGACCUUUACUGUGUACUGGGGUAUGGAUCCACAUAGUUUACUUUGAAAAAAUUAGAGUGUUUAAAGCAGGCAUUUGCUCUGAAUACAUUAGCAUGGAAUAAUAAUAUAGGACUUCGGUUCUAUUUUGUUGGUUUCUAGUACUGAAGUA